rnacentral:rRNA from 1 species
CCUACGGGAGACAGCAGUGGGGAAUAUUGCGCAAUGGGCGAAAGCCUGACGCAGCGACGCCGCGUGAGGGAUGAAGGCCUUCGGAUCGGAAACCUUUGUCAGCAGGGAAGAACGGUCACUGUGCUAAGCAGCAGUGAAUUGACGGUACCUGCAAAGGAAGCACCGGCUAACUCCGUGCCAGCAGCCGCGGUAAUACGGAGGGUGCGAGCGUUAAUCGGAAUUACUGGGGGUAAAGCGCUCGUAGGCGGUAUGUCAAGUCAAGGGUGAAAUCCCCGGGCUCAACGUGGGAACUGCCUUUGAAACUGGCAAACUGGAGUGUGUGAGAGGAUAGUGGAAUUCCAGGUGUAGGGGUGAAAUGCGUAGAUAUCUGGAAGAACAUCGGUGGCGAAGGCGACUAACUGGCACAUAACUGACGCUGAGGAGCGAAAGCGUGGGUAGCAAACAGGAUUAGAUACCCCAGUAGUC